rnacentral:rRNA from 1 species
UACGUAGGGUGCAAGCGUUAAUCGGAAUUACUGGGCGUAAAGCGUGCGCAGGCGGUUGUGCAAGACAGAUGUGAAAUCCCCGGGCUCAACCUGGGAACUGCAUUUGUGACUGCACGGCUGGAGUGCGGCAGAGGGGGAUGGAAUUCCGCGUGUAGCAGUGAAAUGCGUAGAGAUCAGGAGGAACACCGAUGGCGAAGGCAGCUCUCUGGGUCGGCCCUGACGCUGAGGCGCGAAAGCGUGGGGAGCGAACGGG